rnacentral:rRNA from 1 species
AUAACUAUUGGAAACGAUAGCUAAUACCGCAUAACAAUGGAUGACACAUGUCAUUUAUUUGAAAGGGGCAAUUGCUCCACUACAAGAUGGACCUGCGUUGUAUUAGCUAGUAGGUGAGGUAAUGGCUCACCUAGGCGACGAUACAUAGCCGACCUGAGAGGGUGAUCGGCCACACUGGGGACUGAGACACGGCCCAGACUCCUACGGGAGGCAGCAGUAGGGAAUCUUCGGCAAUGGGGGCAACCCUGACCGAGCAACGCCGCGUGAGUGAAGAAGGUUUUCGGAUCGUAAAGCUCUGUUGUAAGUCAAGAACGGGUGUGAGAGUGGAAAGUUCACACUGUGACGGUAGC